UGGACUUCCCAGAGGAGCCCCUGCGAAAGCUGGCCAUCAAGUUUCUGGGGAUCGCCGCCAGGUCCAUGAAGCAGGAGCAGCCAGAGAUGCAGCUCAUCUGCCAAGCCCUUCAAAACAUAACUGAUGACAGCCCUGCUGUCUCAAACCUGGCACGUGAAACGCUCCACAUCAUCAGAGGUGUACGGA